CCCGAUGAACUGAAUAUCCAUUAUGGAAAAUUCAUCAUUAGAAUUGUGAUAUUUAAACGAUAUUAUAAUAAUAGUGUGCAUUUUUUCCAUAUAAGGACAUUGUAAUCUAUUAGUUACAAUAAUUUAUCAAAAAUUUUAGAUAAGAGCUUAUUUAAAUUAAAAUGCUUGCGUUUUAACAUAAAAUGAAUGUCAUAAAUUUGAUAAAGUGCUGAUAGAUUUAUAUGAAUACAGUGUGUUAAUUUUUCGGAAUUAUAUAAUGGCAUGAUUAUCAUUGAUUUUUGUGUUUAUUAUAUGCACUUGUAUGAUUAACAAUGCGAAAGAUUCAGGAUACCUUCGGG
rnacentral:rRNA from 1 species